UGGGGGAUAUUGCACAAUGGGCGAAAGCCUGAUGCAGCGACGCCGCGUGGGGGAUGAAGGCCUUCGGGUUGUAAACUUCUUUUGCUCUGAACAAGGCAUGCUAAUGGGUGUGUUGAGUGUAGGGGUUGAUUAGCGCCGGCUAACUACGUGCCAGCAGCCGCGGUAAUACGUAGGGCGCGAGUGUUGUCCGGAAUUAUUGGGCGUAAAGGGCUUGUAGGUGGCUGGUUGCGUCUGUCGUGAAAGCUCAUGGCUUAACUGUGGGUUUGCGGUGGGUACGGGCUGGCUUGAGUGCAGUAGGGGAGGCUGGAAUUCCUGGUGUAGCGGUGGAAUGCGCAGUUAUCAGGAGGAAUACCGGUGGCGAAGGCGGGUCUCUGGGCUGUUACUGACACUGAGGAGCGAAAGCAUGGGGAGCGAACAGG
rnacentral:rRNA from 1 species